rnacentral:antisense_RNA from 1 species
UGUAGGAGUGAGCCUGCUCGCGAUAGCGGUGUAUCAGUCAACUAAAAUGCUGGCUGAUACACCGCUAUCGCGAGCAGGCUCACUCCUACA